CACACCAUGGGAGCUGACUGUACCAGAAGUCGGUGAGCUAACUUCAGGUUUCGGCUUGGGGAGGCAGCCGCCUAAGGUAUGGUUGGUGACUGGGGUG
rnacentral:rRNA from 1 species